rnacentral:misc_RNA from 1 species
GAAAUGCGAUAAGUAAUGUGAAUUGCAGAAUUCAGUGAAUCAUCGAAUCUUUGAACGCACCUUGCGCUCCUUGGUAUUCCUUGGAGCAUGCCUGUUUGAGCAUCAUGAAAUCUUCAAAGUAAAUCUUUUGUUAACUCAAUUGGUUUCUACUUUGGUAUUGGAGGUCUUUGCAGCUUCACACCUGCUCCUCUUUGUUCAUUAGCUGGAUCUCAGUGUUAUGCUUGGUUCCACUCGGCGUGAUAAGUUAUCUAUCGCUGAGGACACUGUAAAAGGUGGCCAAGGUAAAUGCAGAUGAACCGCUUCUAAUAGUCCAUUGACUUGGACAAUACUUUUAUGAUCUGAUCUCAAAUCAGGUAGGACUACCCGCUGAACUUAAGC